rnacentral:rRNA from 1 species
UAUACGGUGAAACUGCGAAUGGCUCAUUAAAUCAGUUAUCGUUUAUUUGAUAGUACCUUACUACUUGGAUAACCGUGGUAAUUCUAGAGCUAAUACAUGCUAAAAACCCCAACUUCGGGAGGGGUGUAUUUAUUAGAUAAAAAACCAAUGCCCUUCGGGGCUCCUUGGUGAUUCAUGAUAACUUAACGAAUCGCAUGGCCUUGCGCCGGCGAUGGUUCAUUCAAAUUUCUGCCCUAUCAACUUUCGAUGGUAGGAUAGUGGCCUACCAUGGUUUCAACGGGUAACGGGGAAUUAGGGUUCUAUUCCGGAGAGGGAGCCUGAGAAACGGCUACCACAUCCAAGGAAGGCAGCAGGCGCGCAAAUUACCCAAUCCCGACACGGGGAGGUAGUGACAAUAAAUACUGAUACAGGGCUCUUUUGGGUCUUGUGGUUGGAGUGAGUACAAUUUAAAUCCCUUAACGAGGAACAAUUGGAGGGCAAGUCUGGUGCCAGCAGCCGCGGUAAUUCCAGCUCCCCUAGCGUAUAUUAAAGUUGUUGCAGUUAAAAAGCUCGUAGUUGACCCUUGGGCUUGGCUGUCGGGUGCGCCUCACCGCGUGCAGUGGUGCGGCCGAGCCUUUCCUUCUGGGAAGGCGCAUGCCCUUCACUGGGUGUGUGGGGGAAGCAGGACUUUUACUUUGAAAAGAUUAGAGUGUUGAAUGCAGGCCUGUGCUCGCAUACAUUAGCAUGGAAUAAUAGAAUAGGACGUGUGGUUGUAUUUUGUUGGUUUCUAGGACCGCCGUAAUGAUUAAUAGGGAUAGUCGGGGGCAUCAGUAUUCAAUUGUCAGAGGUGAAAUUCUUGGAUUUAUUGAAGACUAACUACUGCGAAAGCAUUUGCCAAGGAUGUUUUCAUUAAUCAGUGAACGAAAGUUAGGGGAUCGAAGACGAUCAGAUACCGUCGUAGUCUUAACCAUAAACUAUGCCGACUAGGGAUCGGGCGAUGUUAUCAUUUUGACUCGCUCGGCACCUUACGAGAAAUCAAAGUCUUUUGUGCUGUAUUACGACAGGUG